GGUGGCUUAGUGGUAGAGUGCUUGCCUCGCAUGCAUGAUGUCCUGGGUUUGAUUCCUCAGCACCA
rnacentral:tRNA from 1 species